rnacentral:rRNA from 1 species
CCUACGGGGUGCAGCAGUGGGGAAUAUUGCACAAUGGGCGCAAGCCUGAUGCAGCCAUGCCGCGUGUAUGAAGAAGGCCUUAGGGUUGUAAAGUACUUUCAGUUGGGAGGAAGGCGUUGAUGCUAUAUCAUCAACGAUUGACGUUACCAACAGAAGAAGCACCGGCUAACUCCGUGCCAGCAGCCGCGGUAAUACGGAGGGUGCAAGCGUUAAUCGGAAUUACUGGGCGUAAAGCGCACGCAGGCGGUUGAUUAAGUUAGAUGUGAAAUCCCCGGGCUUAACCUGGGAAUGGCAUCUAAGACUGGUCAGCUAGAGUCUUGUAGAGGGGGGUAGAAUUCCAUGUGUAGCGGUGAGAUGCGUAGAGAUGUGGAGGAAUACCGGUGGCGAAGGCGGCCCCCUGGACAAAGACUGACGCUCAGGUGCGAAAGCGUGGGGAGCAAACAGGAUUAGAUACCCCGGUAGUC